CUCCUACGGGAGGCAGCAGUGGGGAAUAUUGCACAAUGGGGGAAACCCUGAUGCAGCCAUGCCGCGUGUGUGAAGAAGGCCUUCGGGUUGUAAAGCACUUUCAGUAGGGAGGAAGGUAGUGUAGUUAACACCUGCAUUAUUUGACGUUACCUACAGAAGAAGCACCGGCUAACUCCGUGCCAGCAGCCGCGGUAAUACGGAGGGUGCGAGCGUUAAUCGGAAUUACUGGGCGUAAAGCGCAUGCAGGCGGCCUGUUAAGUCAGAUGUGAAAGCCCCGGGGCUUAACCUCGGAAUUGCAUUUGAAACUGGCAGGCUAGAGUCUUGUAGAGGGGGUAGAAUUUCAGGUGUAGCGGUGAAAUGCGUAGAGAUCUGAAGGAAUACCAGUGGCGAAGGCGGCCCCCUGGACAAAGACUGACGCUCAGAUGCGAAAGCGUGGGGAGCAAACAGGAUUAGACACCCUGGUAG
rnacentral:rRNA from 1 species